rnacentral:rRNA from 1 species
GUGUCAGCCGCCGCGGUAAGACGUAGGGGGCCAGCGUUGUUCGGAAUUACUGGGUGUAAAGGGUUCGUAGGCGGUGUGGCAAGUUGGGAGUGAAAUCUCUGGGCUCAACCCAGAGGCUGCUUCCAAAACUGCUGUGCUUGAGUGUGAGAGAGGCGCGUUGAAUUGCAGGUGUAGCGGUGAAAUGCGUAGAUAUCUGCAGGAACACCCGUGGCGAAAGCGGCGCGCUGGACCACAACUGACGCUGAGGAACGAAAGCUAGGGGAGCAAACAGGAUUAGAAACCCGUGUAGUCC